AUACGUAGGUGACAAGCGUUAUCCGGAUUUAUUGGGUUUAAAGGGUGCGUAGGCGGUUUGCUAAGCGGGAGGUGAAAUGCCGGCGCUCAACGUCGGAAGUGCCUCCCGAACUGGUGGACUUGAAUGACUCUGCCGUGGGAGGAAUGUGUAGUGUAGCGGUGAAAUGCUUAGAGAUUACACAGAACACCGAUUGCGAAGGCAUCUCACGAAGGGUUGAUUGACGCUGAGGCACGAAAGCGUGGGGAUCAAACAGGAUUAGAUACCCUGGUAGUCCACGCAGUAAACGAUGAUGGCUAACCGCUGGGCUUAUCAGUUCAGUGGCCAAGCGAAAGCGAUAAGCCAUCCACCUGGGGAGUACGACCGCAAGGUUGAAACUCAAAGGAAUUGACGGGG
rnacentral:rRNA from 1 species